GAGUAGUGAUAUGGUUGUGUGAAAGAUUAAGGGAUGGAUGUGUGAGUAGAAAGGGGAAUAAGGUGAAAGGGGGAAUGGGUGAUUAAAUGAGUUAUGGUUGGUUGGAUGUUAGGGAGGUUAGAUGGAUAAGUGUGGUAAUUGUAGAGGUAAUAGAUGAAUAUUGUAGGGGGAGGAGUGAUGGAAGGGGGGGUUUUAUUAGAAGAAAAGGAAUGGGUGGGGUGGUGGGUGGGUUGGGUUGGUGAGUGUGAAUAAGUUUGGGGUGAUGGGAGGGUGUUGGAGGGGGGAGGGAUGUUUGAAAUGUGUGGGUUAUGAAGUUUGGAUGGUAGAUUGUGGGGGUAGGAUGGUUGUUAGGGGUGAGGGGGAAUGAGGGUUGGAUUGGGGAGAGGGAGGGUGAGAAAGGGGUAGGAGAUGGAAGGAAGGGAGGAGGGGGGGAAAUUAGGGAGUGGGGGGAGGGGGAGGUAGUGAGGAAAAAUAAGGAUACGGGAGUGAUGGGAGGGGGGGUAAUGGGAAUGAGAAGAGUUUAAAUGGUUUAAGGAGGAUGUAUUGGAGGGGAAGUGUGGUGGGAGGAGGGGGGGUAAUUGGAGGUGGAAUAGGGUAUA
rnacentral:rRNA from 1 species